GACCUCGUAGCUCAGCUGGUGGAGCACUCGCAGUACUAAAGCGAAGGUGGUGACCAUGCGUGGGUUCGAAUCCCGCCGAGGCCA
rnacentral:tRNA from 1 species